AUCUGUGGCAGGGUGAUCUCUCGUUGGGUGCUAAUUCUGUAAAUCAAAACUGUCGGGUGGGCUCUGUGUUUGCAAUAAUUAAUAUCCAAACAUGUUCAGCCCCGACUUAUUUAAAUUGUUAUAAUUCUGUUUGUCCAGCUCAGUUUUACCUGCUGUCUGUAAAUAUGUUUGAAAACAUUUUUGUUUGAUUGAGAGGGUGAGAGAGUUCAGAAACAAAGGCAAGUGCCCUUAUGGCAGCACUCAGCCAAUGGGAGAGGAUCUGGGCAUCUCUCAGCCAAUGGGAGAGGAUCUGGGCAUUACUUGGCCAAAAGGAGAGAAUCUGGGCUAAACUUGGCCAAUGGGAGAUGAUGCGUUCAUAAUUUGGUCAAUGGGAGAUGAUCUGGUCAUCCUUCACCCAAUAGGAGAGGAUCGGGGCAUAACUCUGCCAAUGGGAGAGGAUCUGGGCAUAACUUGCCCAAUGGGAAAGGAUCUGGGCAUAACUCAGCCAAUGGGAGAUGAUCUGGGCAUCACUUGGCCAAUGGGAGAGGAUUUUGGCAUGACUUGACCAAUGGGAGAGGAUUUGGGCAUGAGGAAGAGGUAUCCAUCCCUCACAGAUGUGUUUAUAUUAAAUGAAGACUCUGGUUGCGUGCACAGCUGACUGAAAUAGCCUCGAUAUUUCUGUGUUAGUGCCCAGCAGAGGCGGCCGUUUUGAGUGUCUUCUCCUCGGCCCUAUAGAGGGAGCUGGAGUGACCAGGGAGCCCUGCUGCAAACUGGAGCACCUCUGCACUGUACAUGUGGCACUUUAACCAGCAGGGGGCACUCUCUCUCCUCUGACCCUCAGUGGGACAUGGUGAUUCAGGCAGCAGUGCAACAGGUGCUAAAACAAACAGAAAGAGCACAAGCACCCCUGUGUGUGAAACCCAUUCACGUGUUGCGGUCCUGAAUCCAUGAAUUGGGAUGUUUCAGUCGCCCUGCAAUACUCUACAGAGGGAUCAUCAGGCCCUCGAGGGUGUGUUCACCCUCCCUUUACCUGGGAGUCCUGUGUGAUCACCCUCCCUUUACCUGGGAGUCAGGUGUGUUCACCCUCCCUUUACCUGGGAGUCAGGUGUGUUCACCCUCCCUUUACCUGGGUGUCAGGUGUGUUCACCCUCCCUUUACCUGGGAGUCCUGUGUGAUCACCCUCCCUUUACCUGGGAGUCAGGUGUGUUCACCCUCCCUUUACCUGGGAGUCAGGUGUGUUCACCCUCCCUUUACCUGGGAGUCAGGUGUGAUCACCCUCCCUUUACCUGGGAGUCAGGUGUGUUCACCCUCCCUUUACCUGGGAGUCAGGUGUGUUCACCCUCCCUUUACCCGGGAGUCAGGUGUGACGACAGUCUGACCAAUCAGUAGCACUAAUUACCCGGGAGAAAAGAAAACCAGGGCUGGAUUUGGAUUGGAGGGCCAGAGUUGAUGACCCCUGCAAUGCAGCCUGUGGCAGGGACACUGAAAUCUGGCUCUUGGGGCCAGUCACACCGAUUAGGCGCCGGUUUAAUCUGGUUUAAUCUGGUUUAAUCUGAGUGAGCGAUAAUGAGUGAUAUUACUACUGUGAACGAUCAGAAGCUGAAGUGAAGCCCAGCGGUGUGACUGGCUCCCAGGACUCAGAUUGGAGUAUUCCUGAUCGAUGCGGUGGUUGGCCGACAUUUGAUGUCACAGUGGAGCUCUGGGGCGUGAAGCAGAGUCCACAAAAAUCCAGUUUUUCUCUCCCAGAACAUGGGCAUGCCAGCCUCUGUAAUAUACACGUGAGUGCGAGUGUGUGUGUGUGCGCGCAUGUGUGCGUGCAGUGCGAUUCGGGGUUUGGAAGAAUACGUGCUCUGAUGUAAACAAUGUCCAUUUGCCAUACGGCCCAGCUUUGCUCACUUAAUGCAGCAAUCUCAACCCUGAACUCUGACCUGGGCCUCCACCCCUAAAGAGAUGACCUCUGACCUCUCAGGGAGGGGCCUGGCCCUGCCUCCUCCUGGGCUGUCCGGACACUGUGGUCCCAACAGUUGCAAAGAUGAAAAAAAGCUCAAAACACGACUAACGUUACCAUCCUGUUUGCGGAAUUGUACAUUCAGUCUCAGUUGCAGGUUUUUUUUUUUUUUUUUUAAUUCACCACUUGCAUUUGAAUAUUAAAGUCUUGGUUUUUUAAAUUUAUUGUGUAGUUGUUUUUUUUUUACCCUUUUCAAGUUUCUAAAACUAUGUAUGUCCAUGCACUGCAGUCGGUUCACCACACACACACAAAAACCAAUGAGAUAUACCUGUGUGAUUUAGCACAAACCAAUAUGAUACAUACAGUGGGAGCAAUAAUUAUUUGAUCCCUUGCUGAUUUUGUAGGUUUGCCCACUUACAAAGAAUGGAACCGUGUAGAAUUUUAAUCAUAGGUACAUUUUAACAUUGAGAGACAGAAUAUCACAAAAUAAUCCAAAAUAACAACAUAUUAAGUUUAUAAAUUUAAUAUAUUUUCACAUGAAAUAAGUAUUUGAUCCAUAGAACAAUAGGACUUAGAACUUGGAGAAACCUUUGUUGGCAAGCACAGAGGUCAGAUGUUUGUUGUAGUUUUUCACCAGAUCUUGGGAGGGAUUUUGGUCCACUCCUCUUUGCAGAUCCUCUCCAAAUCCUUAAGGUUCCGAGGCUGUCGCUUGGCAACUCGAAGCUUCAGCUCCCUCCACAGAUUUUCGAUGGGAUUUAGGUCUGGAGACUGGCUAGGCCAUAUGCUUCUUUUUGAGCCACUCCUUUGUUGCCUUGGCCGUAUGUUUUGGGUCAUUGUCAUGUUGGAAGAUCCAUCCACGACCCAUUUUCAGUGCUCUCACUGAGGGAAGGAGGUUGUCGCUCAUAAUUUCCUGGUACAUGGCCCCAUUCAUCCUCCCCUCGAUACGGUGAAGUCGUCCUGUCCCCUUAGCUGAGAAACAACCCCAAAGCAUAAGGUUUCCACCUCCAUGCUUCACAGUCGGGAUGGUGUUCUUGGGGUUGUACUCAGCAUUUCUCUUCCCCCAAACACGGCGAGUCGAGUUGAUGCCAAAUAGCUCUAUUUUGGUCUCAUCUGACCACAUCACCUUCUCCCAAGCCUCCUCUGGAUCAUCCAAGUUUGGCAAACUUCAGACGGGCCUGUACAUGUGCCUUCUUCAGCAGAGGAACCUUGCGUGCGCAGCAGGAUUUUAAUCCUUCACGGUGUAGUGUGUUACUGAUGGUUCUCUUCGUGACUGUGGUCCCAAUUGCCUUCAGGUCAUUAACAAGCUCCUCCUGUGUAGUACUGGGUUGAUCCCUGACCUUUCUCAUGAUCAUUGAUAUCCCACAAGGCGAGAUCUUGCAUGGAGCCCCAGACCGAGGGAGAUUGGCGGUGACUUUGUGUUUCUUCCAUUUUCUAAUAAUUGCUCCAACAGUUGUUAACUUCUCACCAAGCUGCUUGCUUAUUUUCUUGUAGCCCAUCCCAGCCUUGUGCAGGUCUACAAUUUUGUCCCUGAUGUCCUUAGACAGCUCCUUUGUCUUGCCCAUGGUGGAAACAUUGGAAUCUGAUUGAUUGUGUGGACAGGUGUCUUUUAUACCGCUACAUAACGAUGUAACGAGUUGACACAGGUGUUUUGGGUAAUGAGUUGAGAUUUGGAGCGCUUCUUAAUGGAAAACUAACUGGUCUGUGGGAGCCAGAAUUAUUGCUGAUUGGUAGAGGAUGAAAUACUUAUUUCAUGUAAAAAUACGAUAAUAAAUUAAUAAAAUGUA